rnacentral:rRNA from 1 species
UGUUUGAUGUUCUAACGUGGACCCGUGAUCCGGGUUGCGGACAGUGUCUGGUGGGUAGUUUGACUGGGGCGGUCUCCUCCUAAAGAGUAACGGAGGAGCACGAAGGUUGGCUAAUCCUGGUCGGACAUCAGGAGGUUAGUGCAAUGGCAUAAGCCAGCUUGACUGCGAGCGUGACGGCGCGAGCAGGUGCGAAAGCAGGUCAUAGUGAUCCGGUGGUUCUGAAUGGAAGGGCCAUCGCUCAACGGAUAAAAGGUACUCCGGGGAUAACAGGCUGAUACCGCCCAAGAGUUCAUAUCGACGGCGGUGUUUGGCACCUCGAUGUCGGCUCAUCACAUCCUGGGGCUGAAGUAGGUCCCAAGGGUAUGGCUGUUCGCCAUUUAAAGUGGUACGCGAGCUGGGUUUAGAACGUCGUGAGACAGUUCGGUCCCUAUCUGCCGUGGGCGCUGGAGAACUGAGGGGGGCUGCUCCUAGUACGAGAGGACCGGAGUGGACGCAUCACUGGUGUUCGGGUUGUCAUGCCAAUGGCACUGCCCGGUAGCUAAAUGCGGAAGAGAUAAGUGCUGAAAGCAUCUAAGCACGAAACUUGCCCCGAGAUGAGUUCUCCCUGACCCUUUAAGGGUCCUGAAGGAACGUUGAAGACGACGACGUUGAUAGGCCGGGUGUGUAAGCGCAGCGAUGCGUUGAGCUAACCGGUACUAAUGAACCGUGAGGCUUAACCUUACAACGCCGA